GACGAACGCUGGCGGCGUGCUUAACACAUGCAUGUCGAACGGAAAGGCCCUGCUUUUGUGGGGUGCUCGAGUGGCGAAAGGGUGAGUAACACGUGAGUAACCUGCCCUUGACUUUGGGAUAACUUCAGGAAACUGGGGCUAAUACCGGAUAGGAGCUCCUGCUGCAUGGUGGGGGUUGGAAAGUUUCGGCGGUUGGGGAUGGACUCGCGGCUUAUCAGCUUGUUGGUGGGGUAGUGGCUUACCAAGGCUUUGACGGGUAGCCGGCCUGAGAGGGUGACCGGCCGCAUUGGGACUGAGAUACGGCCCAGACUCCUACGGGAGGCAGCAGUGGGGAAUAUUGCACAAUGGGCGGAAGCCUGAUGCAGCAACGCCGCGUGCGGGAUGACGGCCUUCGGGUUGUAAACCGCUUUCGCCUGUGACGAAGCGUGAGUGACGGUAAUGGGUAAAGAAGCACCGGCUAAGUACGUG
rnacentral:rRNA from 1 species